rnacentral:lncRNA from 1 species
CAGAGCAGUGACGAAGAUACCAACAUAAUCCUUAAAAUAACAGGUAACACUGACCCAGUGAAACCUUAUUUCCUACCAGUAUGUCGGACUAUCUUGGGAGUCAAGCAUUCUAUGGGACAUUGUUUCUUUGUUAGUAAGUCACAGGGCCGGUAAUAAUAACUAACUGGUAGUUUAUGUUUCGGGGACUAAUAACCAGAUGAAUGCCUAACAGAGCCUGUUUGAAGAGAGUGAUUCCAGAAAAAAUUGGUCCUUGCAGAAGAAGCCAGUGAGGGAAAGAAGUGAGGGCCUCCGUGGCCUGGUUGGCCACCCGGAGAUGCGGGUUACAUGUGUUCAGCCCUCUGGUUGAAAAGGAGCAGACCUGUGUUAUUCUUCAGUAGUGGGAAUGCUGAAGUAAUUAAAAUCAUCAAGAUUUGUUUUUUCCCUAUGGAUCUUUACAAAGCAACGUAAGACUGAAGCCCCCAGUCCUGCAACAUGUAUAUGAAUGAACCACUGCUGUGGCAGGGGGCCAUGGCACUUUACCAGCUGCAGCCAGAUCAAGGUACAGCAGCCACCAGAAAAUACUGAAUCUGAGAAUGCCUCCUUUCUGGAUGUACAUAUGAGGCCUUUAUACUUUGGAGUGAUAACAGGACAGAAUUUUGCAACCAAAGUCUGGGUAAUCCAAACAGAGCCGAGAUGUGGGGCAGAGGAAGCAAGUGAGACCCCCAGAAACACAGCCCCUGGGCCCACUGGUAGUGGGGAAUCCUUCAGCGUGAUUGUGGGGCUGCUUGUCAGCCCAGGACUCAUUUAUGCCACUAGCAUCACCUUCCAUUCUAGCUCCAGAAGUGGCUUUAUGUUCAUUUUGGUCCUUACCGUUGCAUGGUCUUGUUUCCAAAGCCUGUUCUGGACAGAGAUGUUGAUUCUCUAA